UGAACUAGCCAUUUCUCUAUCAACAAAUCAGUCUAAUCAGUAAACCCCAAAAUCAUCGUAUCAUUUCUUUCCACCUCAAGCACAAAGUCCAGAAGCAGUUUCCAAGUAGAAACAAUAGUACUUAUAUUCUUUUCUUUUAUCAAACUGUCAGUUUAGCCAAAUUCACUCAGUCAGCUUUCAGGCCCAAGGUGGGACUAGAACUCACGAUCCAGAGUUGUCGUGUUUUGCUCUAAUCACUAGACCAAACUGUUUCUCCAUUGUGCCUCCUUAUUCAAACAAAACAUAUUUGGCCGAGAAUUGGGUAAACCAAUACUAAAGUGAAGCGUAUCAAAAAAAAUAAGCUACAAUAACAAAACCCCCAAUAAAGUUAUUUCAAGAAUUGUGAAUCAAAAGAAAAAUCAAUGGCAUAUUUAUCUUUAUCAAGAUUCAAGCUGUGCUUAUAUUAAGUCAUCAGACAAAGUCAUUCUAAGUUGUAUUUAAAUGGUAUUCAAAAUGGUAUUUAACUUGAGAAAAAAUAAUUUUAAGAAUUUUUUUUAUGCUUCUUUCCAAGAUCUUAGUGAAAAGCUUAAAUCAGAUUUUAUACUAUAUCUGCCCAUGCAACUACAUUAGCUGGAAGACAUCAGUGCCAAAGUAAUUACUACAAUAAAUAAAUAAACCAAAAGGGAAGAAUGAGACUGUGUGAAAUUAUAGAAUUAUAGCACAAAUUAUAGCAAAUUGUAGCACAAAUUAUAGCAAAUUAUAGCACAAAGUUCAGAAGCAGUAUCCAAGUACAAACAAAAGUACUUAUAUUCUUUUCUUUUAUCAAAACUGUCAGUUUAGCCAUCUCUGCUAACUCCAUCAGCUUUUGUAACCGUUCAUCCAAGAUGGGAAUGUUAACAUCCUUCCAAGAAUUGCAGGAUUCCUAGGACUACAGCAAGUUUUCUCUGACCACACAGAUCCAUCUCUGCUGAUCUCCUGCAGCAGCUCAAAUAAAUCAGCCAUUAACCCAGGUUUGAAGUCUGACUCAAAGAUGAAUUAGCUGUCUCUGCCUCAGUCUAAAUGUGUGGGAAAAUGCCAUCCUGUAUUUGUCAAACAGGCUCGAGAAGGAGAGCCAGUUUGCUGCUACGACUGCAUUCCUUGUCCAGAGGGGACCAUCUCCACUCAGGAAGAUACCAAAAAAUGCACCAAAUGCCCAGAUGAUCAAUAUCCAAUUGAGAACCGAGUCCAGUGUAUCCCCAAAAGAAUUAACUUCCUGUCUUAUGAAGAACAUCUCAGCAUCAUCCUCAUCUCCUUUGCUCUACUCUUGUUCCUAAUCACAGGCUUUGUUUUAAUCGUAUUCAUUAAAUACCUUGAAACUCCUAUUGUCAAAGCAAACAACUGGGACC